CGGAGUGUGGCUCAGUUGGUAGAGCGCUCGCUUCGGGUGCGAGAGGUCCCCGGUUCGAAUCCGGGCACUCCGA
rnacentral:tRNA from 7 species